rnacentral:piRNA from 1 species
UUGGCAGGUCGACCCCAGGCAUGAACCAGC